CCAGUCCCUGCAAAAACCGGCAGCAUGAGGCAGCGGCUCCCCCUGCGGGAAUACGCGGGGACCCGGGCUCCGGAGCGCUGCAGACAGCUCUGGGUGGCAAAAACGCUGGAGCCAGCCCUGAAGAAGACCCUCUGGCCUGCCACUCCCUUCCCCCAGGGGCUGCAGGGACGGUACCUGCCUGAAGUGCCCUGGUGUCCAGCCAUGGUGAUGAGAGAGGGGCAGCAGGACAGGCUGGGACGUGGACACCUCCACUGCGCCUCCCGCCGGCCCCUUUCACUUGCCUGACUGCCUGCUGCUUCGGCCGCCAGUGCCAGCCUGCAGGAGUUCCAGCAGCCCCCUAGCUGAUUGUGCCACGUGCUGCGCUCCAGCAUCGGCCAGCUCUGGGUUCCAGCUGGGUUUUGGUUCCGGCUGUGGCCCUUUGCCAGCCAGGGUCUCAGCUGCCGGCCUGCUCAGCCCACUGCCAGCCUACAUUUCCAUUCACCCAGGCUGGCGGCGUGCUGAGUGGGGCUAGCAGCUGGGACCUCGGCAUGCCAUUAACAAUCGUCUCGCAUGCCACUGUUGGCACGUGUGCCAUAGGUUGCCCACUCCUGGUUUAGACUAUAUGGACCGCUGGGAGCUAGUAGGAUCAUGACAACAUUACAGUACAAAAGUAGUAAAAAUCUUACUGAGAUGAGAAGUGACUGUUUAAAAAAAUUAAUUUUGUUAGCACCUACUUAAUUCAAUAAUCUAAUGGUUUGGAGAAAAUGAAUCUUCAUUUAAGAUUUAAUACCCUUGUGCCUUCAGUUAAAGGCAGCUUUCAAUGUACAGUGUAAAUCCUCAGAUUUCUGGUGGUUGUGGAUGGCCUCUCAGACUGCGUCAGAUCUCUUACUGGUACUGGUAUUAAGAGUUGAAUUCUGGCUCACAGAAGUGCUGACUGACUGGGACUCAGAGGUGGAAGGUCUUAUGGCAGACCAUGCUUAAUACUGCUAUGACAAAAACCAGCAGAAUGAAUAUAUAUAAAUCCUUCUUUCUAUACAGUAAGGAAGGGAAAAUGGGUACCAUAAAACUUUUCUGCCCUUUGUCUGCAGGUCACUUUUAGAAGCAGUGUUAUACAAAAUCAUGCAUUUAUAAAAGAUUAACAGAUUAAAAAAACCCA